ensembl:lncRNA
GGAUUCGUCUGCAGGCAGCUGCUCUGAGUAACGGCACGCACGCAAACCGAGCGGUGGCGAGGUGACGCGGCCCACUUUGCAAUCAGACAACAUUUUUGAAUACUAAUGCAAUAUGAGAUUUGGAGAGGCCAUCUGCCCAUUGAUUUGCAGGUCACAGCGGAGAUCGCUCGCCUCUCGGGUGGUGCACACGACUCGCCAAUCAGAAACAAUAUGGAUUCAUUGGAGAGACUGUUAGUCUUCUGUUGCACUGUGAAUGAUGCUAGAAAGGUGUUGCAUUACCUCGCCUAUAAAAAAGGCAGGCCGACAGCCAGAGCAGACCCUGAUCGAUACCAGCGGAGACGCACCUGAGAGGCCGAGGCACCGACAGCUGGUUUCCAUUCCGCCGGAGGGUUAAAUCGUGGCGAGGGACGACUUACUUGUUCGACCUCCUCGAAUUGCACCCACAGGACGAACGCGUUUGAUACGGAAAACGUGGUUUAAAAAGUUGCAUAACGCGAUGUACGCAGGAGGAUAUAUUCGCACAACCACAACAUCUGGCUCAUCGGGCUCACGCAACACACUGGGGCAGGAAGUGGAUUAAGAGCGCCGGCUGGCCCAUUGACGACGAGCGCAGUUGGAAUAUCUGUAAUCGGCACGGCCAAAGAUCUAAUGGAGAUCGUGGCAGCCCCCAGUCCUCCCACAACAGGAAGCUGUUGCAGUGACAAGUCCCCCCCAAAAAGAUCAGAGUUUAUUUGGCACAUUGACUCCGUCAGAGGAUCUGGGCUCAGAAGUUCUGACUCCGAGACGCCAUGUCACAGCACACUAUGACCACAUGUGCACACUGUAGUAGCGUGUGGUGUUCCCCUCGGAUUGUUUGGGAGCGUUUCUGGGUUUUGGAGUUGCCGUGUUUCCUGAGGCCUUGUCUCCUGGCACAUGAUGGCACCGUAGCUGAAAUGAACCACGUGAGAGCUCAAAGGAUUAUAUUCCUUCUGUCGCUCACGUUGUAGAUGGGCGGGAGAAGCUCGACUUAUGGGGAUAAUUCUUUUCCAAUUUGAAUGCAGCAAAGUUGCUCUGCACAGGCUCACACAAAGAAAGAAAAGGUCUGUGAAGAUUCCAACACCGUGUUAACGUGACUGAGAUCGUUACGUUAUCUUUGAACAGCUGUAGCAUAUCUAGGUUAUUUGCCAGGUCCAGACUGGCUCAACUUUUAUUGGAGCACAGAUCGAAAUGGGGCGGGACUUUGGACAGGUCAGCUAUACCGUGUGAAAGAUCUAGACAGGCCCUGAACCCGUCAUCAUACUCAAGCACAGAAUCAAAUCACAAAACGCUGAGCUGCGUGUUCCUGUUUUUCUGCCACUCACAUACUUUUGCAUAACCGCAAUGGUGCUCAAGUUUCUGAAAUCAUUUCCCCUUCUGGUAAGUCACUGUGACACUGUCAUUCAGCUCCAACAUGUUCCUCACAGAAAGGAUUACUUCCCUGAUUUUGCACUUACAGUACCAAACUGUCCAACGUUGUCUCUUCUGCAGGGUUUCAGCUCCCAAACCUCAGGGGCAAACACUCCAGUCUCCUACACCAAAUGCCAAAUUCAUCACAUGUAUAGACACUCCACAAAAUGCUGAGGCUGAAAAAAAAUACUGUUUUUAUCUUUAUUAAUUUGGAAGAAAAAGUUAAAUGUGUCCACAGGCUCAGCGGUUUUCAUACUGGUUAAGAAGCGCCAUGCUCUCCUUUUCCUGCAGCAGGAGCACAAUCUGGCAAGAAGCAAUGAGGAUCAGCGAGGGAGAUCGACAGGCCUCUACCACGGCCUGUUUUUGUCUUACAACUUCAACCCUUUCAUUAUGAGUUUUUAUAGUUAAAGGCAGUUCACAUCAACAUUAGAAAAUGGCCAUUUGUACUUUUGAUAGAAUAAAUAGUAGGGCCGUCAACAUUAACGCAUUAAUCUAUGCAAUUAAUGUGGCCGAAUUAAUGCAAAAAAAUAUUUUAACGUAGUUAACGUACGUUUGUUUGAACCGGAAGUUUAACGAAACGGGCGCUAGCUGCAGUCAGUUACAUCGAGAUGGAGAGCGCUUUUUGCAUUGGAAGUAAAACAAACAGAGGCUCAACAUACAGCAGAGACCUGUGCAGAGGAAUUACUCCACAUGUCAAACAGAAGGGGGGUGAGUAGCAAACGGACCACUUAAAGCACUGCUAUGCUAAGUUAGCUGCUAGGCUAGCUUAGCCUAGCAUGUAACAUCUGCAGAGGACCACCACUGUGUCCCUUAAAGACCGUGGUUUGAAAACGUCUUGGCUAAAUGUGGGGAGAUUGUUGGUGCUUCAAACACAGCUGUUAAAUGAUGGAGGUGGAAUUCUGUCUCCAAGACCAUCAAAUGUGCGUGG